rnacentral:lncRNA from 1 species
AAACAACCAACAUUGAAAAAAAGAAAACAAACAACAACGUACAAUAAGAAGCCACAACGAAAACAACAAGUAAAAGUAAAAAAUAAAAAGAAGAGAAAUCCAUUCCAAACCUUCAGUGAAACACCACCCAACAUGGACCAAACUUUAUCUCAGAUAGUAGAACCACCAAAAGCAAACCGGAUCCUCAAGGAAGUAACAACAACUACAUAAAACCAUGGAGCCAGACCAGGAUCUCGAUCCUCUAUUGAAUAAGACACAUGAUAUAAUGAUGAAUCCAAU